UACGUAGGGGGCAAGCGUUGUCCGGAAUCAUUGGGCGUAAAGCGCGCGUAGGCGGCUCGGUAAGUCUGCUGUGAAAGUCCAGGGCUCAACCCUGGGAUGCCGGUGGAUACUGUCGAGCUCGAGUCCGGAAGAGGCGAGUGGAAUUCCUGGUGUAGCGGUGAAAUGCGCAGAUAUCAGGAAGAACACCCGUGGCGAAGGCGGCUCUCUGGUACGUGACUGACGCUGAGACGCGAAAGCGUGGGGAGCGAACAGG
rnacentral:rRNA from 1 species